UACAGGAAAACUUAUAGAGUAGCAGACAGUGACACGGAGCCACACGGGAGAGGCAGAUCGGGAAAGCAAAGAGAGAGGGAAGAAACUCUUAUCGCAAUCGAGCAGACAUUUUUGUUGUCGCUCUCCCUUGUUGGCUGUUUCCCCUCUACCAAUACCGUGUGUGUAGUAGCAUUGGAAUCGGCGGGACACGUUGGCAAACAGUUGCGGUCCAACAUUCUACAGCGGCCACAGUGCCAGGAGAGAAGGCAGGAGACGGACCAUACCAGACGUACAGAAAGAAAGGAUAACAAGUGUCAAUUUGCCAUUCGAGCAGAUCCUCUGCACUUUAUAUUUCAGGCUUCACGUACACCCGACCACAGCCUUUCUCUCACUCGCUCAGCUGCUCUGGAGCUAGUACAACUCUGACGUGCGAUCGAUAUAAUAUAGUGAGAAAAACACUUUGGUACGUAGCACCACCGAAAAAAAACUCGCCGCAAGACAAUCAUGUCGGAUCCCACCACAGCUGAGGAAGCUGCUGCCAAAGCCGCUCUCGACAGUGCCCAAUCGAGUUUCUUCCUCUCGUCCAAAUUGAUUUUUCUGCUGGCUCUCAUGGUUCCGGUAGCCUUGCUAGGUCUAUUCGCCCGGAAAUUGUUAAUGUCGGAGAAGGAGAAGGAAAUGCGGCGACUGGAGAAGAAGAAAGCCAAAGAGGCAAAGUCAUCUAAAAAGAAGUGAAUGGCCGUCACACGAACCCAGUAACCGGAGAGGGGAAAACGAGGAAUGAUAAGAAGAAAUAUACAAGAACUAGAACUCCAAGCAAGCCAAGCACUAGGGACUUAACCCCCCUUGGCGGGGGGAGGCGUCCACUCUUCAUUCCUCUCAUCUUUUGUCCGAUCUACCACCAUCUCAGAAAUAACAAACCAACAUCGUCAGCUGAUAAUAAAAAACACACUCUCAUAGAGAAAAAAAAAUCAAAUGGGAAAUGAGUCUUCCGUUUGACGGUCGUCCACUUAUAAUAAAGGCGAGCGAUCUGCUCUCGAUGAUGGCUGAACAAUA